GAUGAACGCUGGCGGCGUGCCUAAUACAUGCAAGUCGAGCGAACAGAUGAGGAGCUUGCUCCUCUGACGUUAGCGGCGGACGGGUGAGUAACACGUGGAUAACCUACCUAUAAGACUGGGAUAACUUCGGGAAACCGGAGCUAAUACCGGAUAAUAUAUUGAACCGCAUGGUUCCAUAGUGAAAGACGGUUUUGCUGUCACUUAUAGAUGGAUCCGCGCCGCAUUAGCUAGUUGGUAAGGUAACGGCUUACCAAGGCAACGAUGCGUAGCCGACCUGAGAGGGUGAUCGGCCACACUGGAACUGAGACACGGUCCAGACUCCUACGGGAGGCAGCAGUAGGGAAGCUUCCGCAAUGGGCGAAAGCCUGACGGAGCAACGCCGCGUGAGUGAUGAAGGUCUUCGGAUCGUAAAACUCUGUUAUUAGGGAAGAACAAAUGUGUAAGUAACUAUGCACGUCUUGACGGUACCUAAUCAGAAAGCCACGGCUAACUACGUG
rnacentral:rRNA from 1 species